AGUGAACGCUGGCGGUAGGCCUAACACAUGCAAGUCGAACGGCAGCACAGUAAGAGCUUGCUCUUACGGGUGGCGAGUGGCGGACGGGUGAGGAAUACAUCGGAAUCUACUUUUUCGUGGGGGAUAACGCAGGGAAACUUACGCUAAUACCGCAUACGACCUACGGGUGAAAGCAGGGGAUCUUCGGACCUUGCGCGAUUGAAUGAGCCGAUGUCGGAUUAGCUAGUUGGCGGGGUAAAGGCCCACCAAGGCGACGAUCCGUAGCUGGUCUGAGAGGAUGAUCAGCCACACUGGAACUGAGACACGGUCCAGACUCCUACGGGAGGCAGCAGUGGGGAAUAUUGGACAAUGGGCGCAAGCCUGAUCCAGCCAUACCGCGUGGGUGAAGAAGGCCUUCGGGUUGUAAAGCCCUUUUGUUGGGAAGGAAAAGCAGCAGGUUAAUACCCCGCUGUUCUGACGGUACCCAAAGAAUAAGCACCGGCUAACUUCGUG
rnacentral:rRNA from 1 species